rnacentral:tRNA from 1 species
GGUUGUGGCUCAGUGGUAGAGCACUUGCCUAGCAUGUGUGAGGCCCCUGGGUUUGAUUCUCGGCACCA